UUAGUUUAAACAUAUUUUAUUGUUCAAAACAAAUGGAUUAGACACAAGUUUUUUCAACUUAGUUCCGUCUUCUCCAUAAUAUACAUGAAUAUACAUUAUAUUUAUAUAGCACAUUACAUAAAUUUGUAUUUUUCUAAUAAGCAUGAAGGCAUGAAAAAUAAUUAAAUAAAUCACAACUAUUGUUAUUAUAAUAUUUAUACACAAAAAAUAAUAGAAACGGCUCAAUGGAUAUCAAACGUUCUUAUUUUGAAUAAUCAAACACACCCAAACGAUCGGUCUAAAGGGAAAACACCAACUGUUACUAGUGUGUUUAUCAAUGACUUUCUAUAAUAUUUACCUGUAUAAGUUGUAAAAGUAACAUGCAAUAUUGUGAAUAUAUAUAAUUGUGAUACGGACAUUAAAUUCUGACUUUAAAAAUGCGGAUAAAGGGAUGACAAGAACAUAGAUUUAAUGUAAGUAUCGUUUUUGUAUUAACUUCAAUAAUUGAAAUCCAUUGAGGCGAAACAUUAUGUUAACCGUUAUGAACAACAAAUCGAUCAUUCGAACAAUGCAUCGUCUGUACUGUAGACUAGUAAAUAAAACAAUAACCAGCAAGGUUGUUAUCAGAGUGAGAAACGUUGAGUUUCUUUUAUAUAUUUAUGUACAGCAGAAAAUAUUACAAAAUUGUCUUUUGUAUCUAAGUUGUCAUUACCAAAC
rnacentral:lncRNA from 1 species